GCCCUGCACCCAGGGGCGCUGACACGUGGGUGGCGUGUAAUGGGCGCCGGAAGUCUUGGUCGACUGUCCUGAUGAUACUGAUCCUAAGAAGUGCCGUCAGAUGCGAUAACUGACGAUGUCACACUGUCUGACCGCAGUCGCCGAGACCUCGGUAGAUUGGUUGCAGUUAACAGCAGAAUCCGCCCUAAAUGCAUGUCCUUCCUUUCCCGACAGCAGACCGACCAAAGAGGGCCCCAGGCGGAGCUGCCGUGCCCUGCGAUAAGGCCUAGGCUACCGGGGUUUGGUACGGAACAUGGGUGGCUUGUUUCCUUAAAUGCCCUGAAGUUGCCUGACGUUGUACAGUUGUAGUUUUACGUGUUUAUGAUGCACUACCUCAUUGCAUAAUUGCAAUGGCUAGGAGACCGUUGCCCCUAACCGGAACCACUUAAGUCGCAGCGAUAUGCAUAGACAAACUCCAUCAAAAUGUCUCCUGGCUUAGUCGACAUUAGUUCAUCCAGGUAGUGCCUGGAGCAGUACUGGGAACAGUGAGCUUGACUGCUCUGAUGAAAUCACCCAUAGGAAGUGCCAUCAGAAGCGAUAACUGACGAUAAUUCCUGGCUGACUGCAGUCAACAAGGGCUCAGGUGGCUGGUGCCCAGGAGUAAGUUGGUCUGCACUGUGACCCUUACUUUCUAUAUUCACCCAGGUUGCAAAUGAAUGAAGAACUGGCAAGAGCUGAGGACUGCAGUGGAGCAUUGGCCUGCAACGAGGCUCUGAGUGCUGAAGAAUGGUGACCUGUGCAGGCCAAAGCUGGUGAUGGUGGCAGCAGCAGCAGCUUACCCUGGGGACAGGCUGUUUUUCCAGCGGGUGGUCAGCCAUGCUGCAGCAGGGGCAGAACUUGAAGUUCCAAGGACCAGUAGUCACCAUCAAUUUGGACUCAGGACGGAAACCUAGGCUUCAACAUUUGGUGUAGAAAGUUUCACCCUGCCCCACUGGCUUGGCUCAGUGGAUAGAGCAUCAGCCUGUGGACUGAAGGGUCCCAGGUUCAAUUCCAGCCAAGGGCACAUGCCCAGGUUGCAGGCUUCAAUCCCCAGUGGGGGGUGUGCAGGAGGCAGCUGAUCAAUGAUUCUCAUCAAUGUUUCUCUCUCUCCCUUCCUCUCUGAAAUAAUAAAAAAAUACAUUUAAAAAAAAAGUCUCUUGCCCUAACUGGUUUUGCUCAGUGGAUGGAGCGUUGGCCUGUGGAUUCAAGGGUUCUGGGUUCAAUUCCGGACAGGGGUAUGUACCUUGGUUGCGGGCACAUCCCCAGUGGGGAGUGUGCGUGAGGCAGCUAAUCGAUGUUUCUCUCUCAUUGAUGUUUCUAACUCUCUGUCCCUCUCCCUUCCUCUGUGUAAAAAAUCAAUAAAAUAUAUAUUUUUAAAAAGCCUCACUUUGUGCUAAGUAUCAGAGGCCAGUCUUACCAGUGAGGGCCAAGAAGUGGAUUUUGACCACCUUUUUGUAGGACUAGCACUUGGUGUCAUUACAUUCGUGAGUUUUCUAGUAUUGUCCCUCGCUCAAAAGGAGCUUACAUACACUUUAGUAUUUGUUAUAUUAGGCAAGGGGCCAAGUUCUUUAAGCUGGAAACUUCCUCCUGAAAUUAAUAUCCAUGCAAUUACCAUAAACAAUAAAGGAUGGUCUUUGGUA